rnacentral:rRNA from 1 species
UACGUAGGGUGCGAGCGUUGUCCGGAAUUAUUGGGCGUAAGGAGCUCGUAGGCGGUUUGUCGCGUCGAAUGUGAAAACCCGGGGCUCAACCCCGGGCCUGCAUUCGAUACGGGCAGACUAGAGUUCGGUAGGGGAGUCUGGAAUUCCCGGUGUAGCGGUGAAAUGCGCAGAUAUCAGGAGGAACACCGGUGGCGAAGGCGGGACUCUGGGCCGAUACUGACGCUGAGGAGCGAAAGCGUGGGGAGCAAACAGG